GAAUCCCGUCUUUGACACGGACUACCUGUACAUUAUGGUGUGCUCUCGAAGAGUCGAGUUGUUUGGGAAUGCAGCUCAAAAUGGGUGGUAAAUGCCAUCUAAAGCUAAAUAUUGGCGAGAGACCGAUAGCGAACAAGUACCGUGAGGGAAAGAUGAAAAGGACUUUGGAAAGAGAGUUAAACAGUACGUGAAAUUGCUGAAAGGGAAACGCUUGAAGUCAGUCGCGCCGUUCGGGAUCCAGCCUUGCUUCUGCUCGGUUUACUUCCCGUUGGGUGGGUCAACAUCAGUUUCGGACGGAGGAGAAAGGCUUGGGGAAGGUAGCAGCAUUCGUGCUGUGUUAUAGCCCCUUGUUGUAUACUUCGAUUGGGACUGAGGACUGCAGCGCGCCUAUGGCCGGGGUUUACCCACGUACGUGCUUAGGAUGUUGGCAUAAUGGCUUUAAGCGACCCGUCUUGAAACACGGACCAAGGAGUCUAACAUGUGCGCGAGUGUUUGGGUGUUAAACUCGGACGCGAAAUGAAAGUAAAAGGUUGGGAACACUUCUGUGUGCACCGACGCCCGGAGCAGACCUUCUGUGACGCAUCUGCGGUAGAGCGUAUAUGUUGGGACCCGAAAGAUGGUGAACUAUGCCUGAAUAGGGUGAAGCCAGAGGAAACUCUGGUGGAGGCUCGUAGCGAUUCUGACGUGCAAAUCGAUCGUCAAAUUUGGGUAUAGGGGCGAAAGACUAAUCGAACCAUCUAGUAGCUGGUUCCUGCC
rnacentral:rRNA from 1 species